rnacentral:rRNA from 1 species
GAAGGUGUGCUGUGAGGCAUGCUGGAGGUAUCAGAAGUGCGAAUGCUGACAUAAGUAACGAUAAAGCGGGUGAAAAGCCCGCUCGCCGGAAGACCAAGGGUUCCUGUCCAACGUUAAUCGGGGCAGGGUGAGUCGACCCCUAAGGCGAGGCCGAAAGGCGUAGUCGAUGGGAAACAGGUUAAUAUUCCUGUACUUGGUGUUACUGCGAAGGGGGGACGGAGAAGGCUAUGUUGGCCGGGCGACGGUUGUCCCGGUUUAAGCGUGUAGGCUGGUUUUCCAGGCAAAUCCGGAAAAUCAAGGCUGAGGCGUGAUGACGAGGCACUACGGUGCUGAAGCAACAAAUGCCCUGCUUCCAGGAAAAGCCUCUAAGCAUCAGGUAACAUCAAAUCGUACCCCAAACCGACACAGGUGGUCAGGUAGAGAAUACCAAGGCGCUUGAGAGAACUCGGGUGAAGGAACUAGGCAAAAUGGUGCCGUAACUUCGGGAGAAGGCACGCUGACACGUAGGUGAAGUGAUUUACUCAUGGAGCUGAAGUCAGUCGAAGAUACCAGCUGGCUGCAACUGUUUAUUAAAAACACAGCACUGUGCAAACACGAAAGUGGACGUAUACGGUGUGACGCCUGCCCGGUGCCGGAAGGUUAAUUGAUGGGGUCAGCGCAAGCGAAGCUCCUGAUCGAAGCCCCGGUAAACGGCGGCCGUAACUAUAACGGUCCUAAGGUAGCGAAAUUCCUUGUCGGGUAAGUUCCGACCUGCACGAAUGGCGUAAUGAUGGCCAGGCUGUCUCCACCCGAGACUCAGUGAAAUUGAACUCGCUGUGAAGAUGCAGUGUACCCGCGGCAAGACGGAAAGACCCCGUGAACCUUUACUAUAGCUUGACACUGAACAUUGAGCCUUGAUGUGUAGGAUAGGUGGGAGGCUUUGAAGUGUGGACGCCAGUCUGCAUGGAGCCGACCUUGAAAUACCACCCUUUAAUGUUUGAUGUUCUAACGUGGACCCGUUACCCGGGUUGCGGACAGUGUCUGGUGGGUAGUUUGACUGGGGCGGUCUCCUCCUAAAGAGUAACGGAGGAGCACGAAGGUUGGCUAAUCCUGGUCGGACAUCAGGAGGUUAGUGCAAUGGCAUAAGCCAGCUUGACUGCGAGCGUGACGGCGCGAGCAGGUGCGAAAGCAGGUCAUAGUGAUCCGGUGGUUCUGAAUGGAAGGGCCAUCGCUCAACGGAUAAAAGGUACUCCGGGGAUAACAGGCUGAUACCGCCCAAGAGUUCAUAUCGACGGCGGUGUUUGGCACCUCGAUGUCGGCUCAUCACAUCCUGGGGCUGAAGUAGGUCCCAAGGGUAUGGCUGUUCGCCAUUUAAAGUGGUACGCGAGCUGGGUUUAGAACGUCGUGAGACAGUUCGGUCCCUAUCUGCCGUGGGCGCUGGAGAACUGAGGGGGGCUGCUCCUAGUACGAGAGGACCGGAGUGGACGCAUCACUGGUGUUCGGGUUGUCAUGCCAAUGGCACUGCCCGGUAGCUAAAUGCGGAAGAGAUAAGUGCUGAAAGCAUCUAAGCACGAAACUUGCCCCGAGAUGAGUUCUCCCUGAGACUUAGAGUCUCCUGAAGGAACGUUGAAGACGACGACGUUGAUAGGCCGGGUGUGUAAGCGCAGCGAUGCGUUGAGCUAACCGGUACUAAUGAACCGUGAGGCUUAACCUUACAA